rnacentral:lncRNA from 1 species
UUUAAUUCAAACUGACCAUUUCUUUUUGUUCCGAACUAAUCACCGUUUUUAACUCGUACUGAUCAAUAUUUGUAAUUCAAACCAUUUUAUCCUUUCAUAUGACAAAAAUUAUUCAUCUCCCCUGACCUCUUAAAAUUCAAGACUCAGGCACAAACAUCCUCAUCUUAGCCGGACAGGCUAAUUCAUUCGCAUGUAGAGCAACAAUAACAAUACUCCAAACAUACCAAGGGACGUCAUACCAGAAAAACAAUGCACCAACGGGUUCUCUCCAGUGGCAAAAUCGACAAUUUUUGAACUUGCACGACAUCUAAACAAGAACUACAUGAUACACAAUUUUCCAUCAUGCACCUGCUAUCCUAAACAUAAAUGAAAUGAGAGAAGGGUAUCCUGAACAUCUAAACAAGAACUUGCAAUUUUUUCCAUCAUGCACCCAGAGGUUCUACCUUCUCCCCCGGCACUGAAAUAAGAGCACCAUCAGUUUAGUUUUAAAUAAAUUGAAAGUUCGAACAUGAGGCAUGUAGGUUUUCAAAUGAUGAAAGUCACAAAAGUGAGCUAUUUUUGUUUUACUUCAAAUAAUUCAACAUGAAAAAGAAAAAUACAGAUAAAUAUUUUUUUGUGCGACAUUCUGAGGCAUAUGUCAGUUCAACCUUUUUAACUACUUUUUUGCACAACGAGAUGAUGUUAUUGAACUGGCUAGGUACAUUCAGUUUUACCUAGUAUGGUUGGACUAGUAAUGCAAGCACUACUUCCAACAUUUUAUAGAGAUCAGUAGCCAUCCAACUAUGAAAUGCAUGCAAACCCAAUCUGCAUACACUAGCGAACAUUGAAACAAAGAACCCAUGUUUGUAAACUUUGAACUUUUGUAUGCGUUUUCCCUCAACUUAUUGUAUCCGUGAGUCUGAACUGAUGCAAGUAUAUAAGAAUACCAAACAUUUAUUACCUAAACUUGAAAAGGAUCUGAGACAGGUUGCCCUGGAACUGCAACUUGUAUCUUUUACUGCUCAUCUUUAACAUUAAGAAAGUACUAAUCAGUACUAGUAUUUUGUGUAAGUCAUACUGGUCAGUACUGCUGCUUGCCGUCCUGAUGAGCACUAGUACUGAUUGCUAACACAGAAUUACAAGAAAAAUGGCCUUCAUGGAUAGUAGUAUGUGAACUUAAGAGUAGGAGAGGAGGAGCACGAAGGUGUUUCUCACCAAUCAUGCUCCUAAUGGCGUGUUGGAUGGCAACCAUGGUUGAACAGGAGGUUGAGGCGUCACGGCAGGAACUCCAGGGCU